rnacentral:tRNA from 1 species
CCGUCGAUAGCUCAGUUGGUAGAGCGGUGGACUGUAGAUGAAAACUUGCCGAUAUCCAUAGGUCGCUGGUUCGAAUCCGGCUCGACGGA